GAGGGAAACAACCCAGACCGCCAGCUAAGGUCCCAAAGUCAUGGUUAAGUGGGAAACGAUGUGGGAAGGCACAGACAGCCAGGAUGUUGGCUUAGAAGCAGCCAUCAUUUAAAGAAAGCGUAAUAGCUCACUGGUCGAGUCGGCCUGCGCGGAAGAUGUAACGGGGCUAAACCAUGCACCGAAGCUGCGGCAGCGACGCUUAUGCGUUGUUGGGUAGGGGAGCGUUCUGUAAGCCGUUGAAGGUGGCCUGUGAGGGUUGCUGGAGGUAUCAGAAGUGCGAAUGCUGACAUAAGUAACGAUAAAGCGGGUGAAAAGCCCGCUCGCCGGAAGACCAAGGGUUCCUGUCCAACGUUAAUCGGGGCAGGGUGAGUCGACCCCUAAGGCGAGGCCGAAAGGCGUAGUCGAUGGGAAACAGGUUAAUAUUCCUGUACUUGGUGUUACUGCGAAGGGGGGACGGAGAAGGCUAUGUUAGCCGGGCGACGGUUGUCCCGGUUUAAGCAUGUAGGCGGAGGUUCCAGGUAAAUCCGGUACCUUUUUAACGCUGAGGUGUGAUGACGAGGCACUACGGUGCUGAAGUAACAAAUGCCCUGCUUCCAGGAAAAGCCUCUAAGCAUCAGGUAACACGAAAUCGUACCCCAAACCGACACAGGUGGUCAGGUAGAGAAUACCAAGGCGCUUGAGAGAACUCGGGUGAAGGAACUAGGCAAAAUGGUGCCGUAACUUCGGGAGAAGGCACGCUGAUAUGUAGGUGAAGCCCCUGCGGGUGGAGCUGAAAUCAGUCGAAGAUACCAGCUGGCUGCAACUGUUUAUUAAAAACACAGCACUGUGCAAACACGAAAGUGGACGUAUACGGUGUGACGCCUGCCCGGUGCCGGAAGGUUAAUUGAUGGGGUUAGCGGCAACGCGAAGCUCUUGAUCGAAGCCCCGGUAAACGGCGGCCGUAACUAUAACGGUCCUAAGGUAGCGAAAUUCCUUGUCGGGUAAGUUCCGACCUGCACGAAUGGCGUAAUGAUGGCCAGGCUGUCUCCACCCGAGACUCAGUGAAAUUGAACUCGCUGUGAAGAUGCAGUGUACCCGCGGCAAGACGGAAAGACCCCGUGAACCUUUACUAUAGCUUGACACUGAACACUGGUCCUUGAUGUGUAGGAUAGGUGGGAGGCUUUGAAGCGUGGACGCCAGUCUGCGUGGAGCCGACCUUGAAAUACCACCCUUUAAUGGCUGGUGUUCUAACGUAGACCCGUAAUCCGGGUUGCGGACAGUGUCUGGUGGGUAGUUUGACUGGGGCGGUCUCCUCCCAAAGAGUAACGGAGGAGCACGAAGGUUAGCUAAUCCUGGUCGGACAUCAGGAGGUUAGUGCAAUGGCAUAAGCUAGCUUGACUGCGAGAGUGACGGCUCGAGCAGGUGCGAAAGCAGGUCAUAGUGAUCCGGUGGUUCUGAAUGGAAGGGCCAUCGCUCAACGGAUAAAAGGUACUCCGGGGAUAACAGGCUGAUACCGCCCAAGAGUUCAUAUCGACGGCGGUGUUUGGCACCUCGAUGUCGGCUCAUCACAUCCUGGGGCUGAAGUAGGUCCCAAGGGUAUGGCUGUUCGCCAUUUAAAGUGGUACGCGAGCUGGGUUUAGAACGUCGUGAGACAGUUCGGUCCCUAUCUGCCGUGGGCGCUGGAGAAUUGAGGGGGGCUGCUCCUAGUACGAGAGGACCGGAGUGGACGCAUCACUGGUGUUCGGGUUGUCAUGCCAAUGGCACUGCCCGGUAGCUAAAUGCGGAAGAGAUAAGUGCUGAAAGCAUCUAAGCACGAAACUUGCCCCGAGAUGAGUUCUCCCUGAGACUAUAAGUCUCCUGAAGGAACGUUGAAGACGACGACGUUGAUAGGUCGGGUGUGUAAGCGCAGCGAUGCGUUGAGCUAACCGAUACUAAUGAACCGUGAGGCUUAACCUU
rnacentral:rRNA from 1 species